CGCAGCUACAGCUCCAAUUGGACCCCUAGCCUGGGAACCUCCAUAUACAGCCCUAAAAAAAAACACACACAAAAAAAAGAAAAGGUGGGAAGAAAGGGCAUUGGUACUUGAAGCAUAGAGCAAAAAUUGGUCCCUCUGUCAUAUCCAACUUACUGGAAGAACUGUGUUGCCCUCAGUGGGUGCCUUCUGUAGUAGGUCACUUCCUUCUGGACACAUUGCCACUUGAGGUGUCACUCAGGAUCACAUGAGAGACCAGGGAGUUCACAUAGUUUACAUAAAGGGUGCUACUACCACCCUUGAUGGGGUCCACUGCAGAGAUGUUGCAUUCUGUCCCUAAAUCAAGCAGGCAACCUGGGAUCGGGGACUGGACCCAGGUGUUAGAUGAAUUAAUCCAGCUUCACGCAUGGUGCUGGCACUAGAGAAUUCCCUGCCACCAGUUGAACUCACGUGCACAUCAUUAUAGGUCCUUUGGCCACUGCCAAGAAUCCAGGUGUCACAUCUACCAGUAACAGCUCCUUUCCAAGCUCACCCUUUUGGCAUAAGAACACUGAGGAUACCUUGCCUCGCAAUAUCCAAGGACAAAUCAGUGCCAGUCCUCUCUGCACUUAUUAAACUUCAAACUGCCAAGGCUUAUUUCAAUGUACAGGGCAAUCAACUGACUUGAAUUUCUGACCAUGCUGUCACCUGGGAUCUGAUGGUAUUAACCUUGGCCCUGUGAGCCCCCACAAUCCAUAACCAUUUGGAGUUCUCUAACCUCAGUGGUAAGCAAAAUUCAUGGGCCAUCCCUUCUCUGCCAUGGCUGCCUUAGCAACUGGCUGGGGCAUCUGAUGUGAAUAAAUCCACCAUUGGUAAUAUACUCAAUGGACAGAGUUUCCAGACCAAGGAAGGAGUCCCUACAGCUGAUGGCAAACAGAUUUUCUAGCGCCCCUCACCCCCUCUACAGGCUACUUGCUAUGCUCCCAUGGUAGAUACUUACAUACAGAAAUUACUUAUCCUAUCAUACACAACCUUCCUGAAACCAAAAUGCCAUGACUCAUCAACACAGUGUAGAAACUAUUGACAUCAACUCAAUUCUAAAAAAACCAGGCUCUUGAAAAAGUCAUGCAGUGCAGUCAUAGGAUCCCAUUCUACAACCCUUAAAGGGUUUCCAAAUGCCUUCCUUAAACUUUGCUUUCUUCUCCAUAGUUCUUCCUGCUGUUCGGGGCAUUAUUCAGAUUCAAUCCACAGUGGUCCAGGAUUCAGUGACCUUUGAGGAUGUGAGUGUGAAGUUCACCACAGAGGAGUGGGAGCUGCUGGAUCUAUCCCAGAAGAAACUCUACAGAGACGUGAUGCAGGAAACCUUCAGGAACUUGACCUCAAUAGGAGAAAAAAGGGAAAACCUUGAUGUCAAAGAUCAGUAUGAAAAUCAUGGGACAAACAUAAGGCACAUGACAUCUUACACUACACCCAAACCAUGUGAGUAUCAGGAAUUUGAAGAGAAGCCAUAUAAAUGCAAGGAAUGUGGGAAAGCUUUCAAGCAUCGUCAAUCCAGACAUACGCAUGAAAAGAUUCACACUGGAGAGAAGCCCUAUGAUUGUAAGAAAUGUGGGAAAGCCUUCAAGCUUCGUCAGUCCAUUCGAAGGCAUGAAAGGAUUCACACUGGAGAGAAACCCUAUGAAUGUAAAAGAUGUGGGAAAGCCUUUAGAUAUCAUCACAACUUUCAAAAACAUGAGCAGACUCACACUGGAGAGAAACCUUAUAGAUGUAAGCACUGUGGUAAAGCUCUCAGUUCUCUCAGAUACUGUCGAAUUCAUGAAAUAACACACACUGGAGCAAAACCCUAUGAAUGUAAGCAGUGUGGUAAAGCUUUCAGUUGUCCCAGUUACUUUAUAAAACAUGAGAGAACUCAUAGUGGAUUGAAACCAUAUGAAUGUAAGCUAUGUGGUAAAGCCUUCAGUUGUGCAAGUUACAUUCGAAGACAUGAAAGGACACAUACUGGAGAAAAGCCCUAUAAAUGUAAAAAAUGUGGUAAGGGCUUUAGUUGUUCAAGUUCCUUUCGAAAACAUGAGAGAACUCAUACUGGAGAGAAACCCUAUGAAUGUAAGCAGUGUGGUAAAGCCUUCAGUUAUUCCAGAUCCUUUCGAAGUCAUGAAAGGAGACACAGUGGAGAAAAGCCCUAUAAAUGCCAAAGUUGUGGUAAAGCUUUUACAUGUCCAAAUUCCUGUAGAAAACAUGAGAGGAUUCAUUCUGGACAGAAACCAUAUGUAUGUAAGGAAUGUGGGAAAGCCUUCAGUUCUCUUACCAAAUUUCAAAGACACAUGAUGAAGCACACUGGAGAUGGACCUUAUAAAUGUAAAGACUGUGGGAAACUCUUUGAUUGUCCCAGUUAUUUCCAUUGUCAUGAACGGACUCACAGUGGAGAAAAGCCUUAUAAAUGCAAGCAGUGUGGUAAAGACUUUGGUUUUCCUUGCUGUCGUCAAAUACGUGAAAGAAGUCACAUUGGGGAGAGGCCCUAUCGAUGCAAGCAAUGUGGUAAAGCCUUCACUUAUCUCAGUUCCUUUUGAAAGCAUGAAAGAACUCAUACUGGAGAGAAACCCUAUGAAUGUAAGGAAUGUGGGAAAGCCUUUAUUUAUCCCUCAAAUGUUCAGAGACACAUGAUAACGCAUACUAGUGAUGGACCUUGCAAGUGUAAGGUGUGUGGGAAAGCCUUUGAUUGUCCCAGUUCUUUACAAACACAUAAAAAAACUCAUAAUGGAGAAUAGUGCUCUGAAUAUAAGGAAUAUGUGAAAGCCUUUAUUUGUCCCAGUUCACUCCAUAUACACACACACUGGAGAGAAACCCUGUUUAUGCAAACAAUACAGCAAAGCCUUCAGCACACUGUAUUAUGUUCAAAUAUAAGAUAGAACUCAUACUAGAGAGAAACGGAGUGUGAGGAAUGUGGGAAAGCCUUCAUAUAUCACACAACCUUCCUGGACAUGUGAGAGUGCACAGUGGAGAGAAACAAUAUAUGUUAAGGAAUAUAGGAAAAGCUUCAGACCCAUUUCCUUGGGAAGAUGUGGAAGAACUCACACUGGAAAGAAUUGUAUUGAAUGUAAAUUAUGUAGGGAAACCUUCACUUUCCCCACAUCCCUGCAAAACCAUGUGAAAAUGUACAUGAGACAGAAACCUUAAAGCUAAAACAAAAAGGGGGAAACUUUUCAAUUUUAACGAAUAUUUUCAAAGACAUGUGAAAACUGCACUGGAAAGAAAUCAUAUCCAUGUAAGUACCAUGGGUAAGCUGUGAAUUAAUUUGUGUAUAAUACUCCUGAAAACUCACAACAUGAAAGGAAUGUUAUAAAUUGGCUCAUUCUUAAAGUGAUUUUCUGCAGUGUGGAUUUCUAAUUAGUUUUCCAGGUACACACUGAGGUGAGAUAAUUCUGUAGGUACACAUUAAUUGUUCCCAAGUUUAAUAGGCAAUUUUUUCCUUUAGUCCUUUAGUAUUUUUUCGUUUAUAUCUUUUGAAGUCUGUUGGAACCAUGCAUGAGUUGAAGCUUAUUUCUAAUAUUUAAGUAGGUUUAAUUUUUACAUAAUUUUGUAAGUUAUAUAUAAAAGAAAAGGGACAUUGAAAAAAUGUCACCUUGGUUUUCGUUUUUUUCGUACUGCCUUCCUGUGGCAAGUAGUGGAUAUGUCUUAUUCAUUAUAUACAUAUUCCACUCUACUUAGCAGAACACCACUUUUUCAUUGCCUAAAAAUUCUUAUUCUAUUUUCUUGUUAGUAUAUAUUUGCCAUAUACUUGUAAGUAUGUAAAAUUCAUCAUAGUGCAGUCUCUUGUGAAUUAUUAUCUUCAUCUUUUGUCCUUUAUGCUUUGUCAUUCCUUCUGGCUGGGAUUUGGACUAUGGAAUUUACAUUCAGAAGAGAGACGUGUGAGAGGACAAUAAAAUUUAGAUUUGGCGGUGACCCUUCUUGAUGCUGUUAUGUUAACCUACUGACCGUGUGUUCCCGAUUCCACUAUGAUAGUUGCAGUGGUACAAUCCAGAAGAGCUACAUGAGAAUUUGUUCCUCUACUGCAGUGUGCAAUGACUGCACUGAUGUGGUCAUUCCAUGUGAGAAUCAGCACCUUCCACAUAUCAGGCAGAUUCUGGGUGUUCCCUCUUACCCAUAGCUGAGCAUAAUCACUCAGUAUGUUUUCAGGUGACUAACUCAGAGGGGGGCAGUGCUGACCUGGAACCUGAUGGACAGGACAGAUCACCCAGGAAAAUUUCACAGAGGAACCUCUGCCCAAAGGAAUUUCCAUAGGACGUCUGUGCCUAUGAAAGAUUCUGGGAGAAAAGGCACAGUUUCAUGCAACAUAGUUAGCUUUCCUCUAUGUAAAAUAUCCACCAGCAAAAAAAUAAACCUUUUGAAAAGAGUAGGGAAACAAUAAAAUAUUGGGCCUCUUUGAAAUGCAUCAGGGAGGUCGAAUAAUUGACAAGGAUGCUGUGAAUCCCAGAUGGGAAGUUGGGGUUUGAGAAUGUGGAAGGGAAUUGGAUGUUUGGGCAUGGAUUGCCAGUUCUAGGAAGUGGGGAGGGAGGCGUUCAGGAUCGUGGAUUUGAGACUCUGCUUCACAAACAUUUGGAAAACUCAGGAGAAAAGGGAUUGCCCCCUCUGAGGAGAAAGAAAGGACUGGAGAUUCCCACUGACCCCAGCUCUUCCCGCACCUGAAGCCGCAGAUCGAGUCAUGAUAGUCUCCUGAUGACUCUCCCUGUGGUCACUGCACAAUCUGGGGGAGAGGCGGAGCUGCAGGCGCAGAGCUGUCCAGAGAAGUUCCUGAGCCAAAGUCGCUGAGAGCAACGACGAAACAGGUCUCUUGAAAAAGGUCGCUGCGAGCUGGAGGGAACCAAGGUCCGAGCAACCGCCAUGGCGGACUCGGUUCUGAAGAUUCUGGAGCUGAACCCCGGGAGGGUCUAUCUUCCACAAUGCUGGCUGCGUUCAGUCCCUGCUUGGUCUCCUGCACCCCGGGAAGCAUAUUCAUCAUUUCUAGGUUUACUGGGUCUUCCUCCACGGUUGGCUUACGUCGUAGAGUUGGCGGGACCGCAAUGUGGAGCCUUUAAGGGUAGGCGACCCGCGAUCCCGAGGUUGGCAGGAAGGAGGUCGGAGACCGUGGUUGCUCGGCCCACCCACCUAGGCUGCUGCGGCCCCAGAUCGACCGGGCCCAACUCUGAGUGACAGCGGGUCCGAACUUACCUGUCCGAGCCUAAAGCAAGCCAUACCUAGUCCUCUGCAAGGAUAUUUGCAUUUGAAACGAAAUGCUUUAAGACCACUCCUGGAACUGUGAUCCUUCUCUAUACACAGGCACUUAGAAGCCGUCUCACCUUAUGCAGUAAUUAGACUGGCUCCAUUUUGAUCUUUGUGACAGCUCAUACUCCUUUAUUCAUCACUCCUCCAUACCCACUCCUUUUGUACUUAAAAAAAAAAAAAAAAAUCCCAUGGUUUCCUAAGCCCUUGGCUCUGGUGGGAUGUUGGCAUCCCACAGCCCUAACCUGGGCUCAGGGACUCUGCUCGGCCUAACCACAAGGUAUGAGUGAAUGUGUUCAUCAUAUUCUCAGGUACAUUGAAAAGCAAUUUAUUUUUAUUUUAUUUCAUUUUUUUAGGGCCACACCUGCGACAUAUGGAGGUUCCUAGGCUAGGGGUCCAAUUGGAGCUGCAGCUGCUACCUCAGCCACAGCAAUCCCAGAUCCCAGCCAUGGCUACGAACUACCGCAUAGCACCUGGAUCCUUAAUCCAUUGAGCGCCGCCAGGGACCCAACCCACAUCCUCAUGGAUACUAGUCAGAUUCCUUGCUGGUGAGCCACAAUGGGAACUCCAGGAAACUUAUUUUAGGUCAUAUUUCUAAUGUAUCCUUGGAGAACUUUGAUAUGUAAAAGGCAUUUUAAUAUCCCUAAGGCAAUUCAAAUUCUGUGUGUACUGAUAUAAGAAAAAAUAAGAAAAGGUUAUGUAAACCUAAGUGUGAGCAGUACACAGAAAGUGUUAAGAUGCUUAAGAGAGUAGGUGGUAGAAUUCUUUUUUUUUUUUUUUGCCUCCCCCGACCCUACAUCAUGUGCCAGAUCCUUAACCAGCUGAGCCACACAGAAUCUCCUCACUGGGGUUU